GGUGUUGUAGCUCAGUGGUAAAGCACUUGUCUUGCAUGUGUGAGGCACUAGGUUAGAUCCUCAGCACCA
rnacentral:tRNA from 1 species